UACGUAGGGGGCUAGCGUUGUCCGGAAUCAUUGGGCGUAAAGAGCGCGUAGGCGGCCAGAUAAGUCCGGUGUGAAAGUCACAGGCUCAACCUGUGAAUGCCGCUGGAAACUGUCUGGCUAGAGUCCGGAAGGGGCGAGUGGAAUUCCUGGUGUAGCGGUGAAAUGCGCAGAUAUCAGGAGGAACACCGGUGGCGAAGGCGGUUCUCUGGGAAUGUCCUGACGCUGAGGAGCGAAAGUGUGGGGAGCGAACAGG
rnacentral:rRNA from 1 species